CCUACGAGGGACUGGAGACUUUGACCUGUGUCGAGAGACUAUCCAGCCUUUCAUGAAUAAAACAAACGAGACCCAGACUUCCCUCAAUGGGGUCUACCAGCCCCCAAUUCACUUCCAGAACAGUGAAUUCUAUGGCUUCUCUGAAUUCUACUACUGCACCGAGGAUGUGUUACGAAUGGGGGGAGACUACAAUGCUGCUAAAUUUACUAAAGCUGCAAAGGAUUAUUGUGCAACAAAGUGGUCCAUUUUGCGGGAACGCUUUGACCGAGGACUGUACGCCUCUCAUGCUGACCUCCACAGGCUUAAGUGAACUGCUCCAUGUUGUGGGACCAGGGAUGUGAACCAAGUACAUCAACCUUGAAACGCGUGCAGUUGGUUUGGGACAGCCGGCCUGAGGAAGCCCCCGUCCCAAGGCUGCCCACAGAUGGAAGGAUUGUGUGUGUGUGUGCCAUCUUGACAGAGUGAGUCAGUCUGACUUGCCUUUGUGCUUGUCGUUUGUAGGUAUCAGUGCUUCAAAUCGGCCUGGAUGUUUGAGGUGUUUCAUAGGGGCUUUUCGUUUCCUUUC
rnacentral:sRNA from 1 species